UCUUACCCGAAGUUAGAUAAUGAUGUGUUAAGUACUUAAAGGAGCUAGUAACAGAAUAAAUGACAGAUUGACUAAUUAGAUAUUAUUGUGGAUUUUCUAACUUAACUAUGGUAACUGCGAGUGAGGGAAAAGCCCAGUGACAUCCACUGGUGCCUUCUCUGGCAUAAGUUCAUAUAAAUGACCUAAAAAACAUACCAAAGCAUUUUAGUUAAAGAACAGAAUAAAAUAUUACAUAAAAUGUAUAGAAAAAAAUAAAAUUUCUAAAAACCUGUAGCUAGUCAACAAAGACUUCAUGCACAUCUUGUUAUAGUUAUAUAUGUUGCAGAACUUAAUAUAUUUUAGCAUAUUAUAUAUAGUCUACACUCAACACUGUGUACUUAAACUUCAAAAUUCUCAAUUCUGUGGUGGAGCCCUACGAAACCAAAGCUUGCUUUCUUGCUUAGCUAUUCUCAUUGGAAGACCUUAAUGUUGCUUUCAAUACUUCUAGGCAUCGCACUUUUAAUAUAAGUUGUUCUGUUGUUUUUAGGGACUUAUCUUAUAACGAUAUAAGAGACCUUCCAAGUUUUAAUGGUUGUCGUGCAUUGGAAGAAAUUUCAUUGCAGCGUAAUCAAAUCUCCCUGAUAAAGGAAACUACUUUUCAAGGCCUAACAUCCCUAAGGAUUCUGUAAGUUUGUGUAUGACUACUAAUGACAAAAGACCUGUCAAGCUCUAAAUUCACAUAUCAUGAUUGUUUUAGGUUUACUGUUGCUGUGGUAAAACACCGUGAGAAAAACAACUUAAGGGAGAAAGGGUUGGCUUGGCUCCCAGUUCCAGGUUAUGGUUACUGCAGGAAUGCCAGGGGCAAGGAAUGAAAGAGGCUGGCUGCAUGCAUUCCACAGUCCAGGGCACACAGAUGUCAGUGAAUGCCAAUAGGCUAGCCUUCUCCACUUGAUACAGUCCCAGAUUCUCUGCCUAGGAAAUGGUGCCACCCACAGUAGAUGGGUCUUCACACCUCAAUUAAUGAACCAAGGGAAUCCCCUGUGAAGACACCCACAGGCUGACCUCAUCUAGACAAUUCCUCACUGAGACACCCUGCUGAAGUGAUUUCAUACUGUGUCAAGUUGAUAAUUAAAACUGUCACAACGAUUUUCAUGUUACUAGCAACACUUUAAAAAUGAUUGACAUUUUAUAAACAGCAUUUAGCCCUUACCUGUGAUACUUCAUAAAGAAACUACUUUUGGUAUGUCAUAGCUCAUCGAUGAUACUGGUCCUCAGCCAAUAACAUGAUUAUCAUUUCAAAGAAGAAACUUAGUUGAUUUCAAGUUUGAGGUUUGGUGCUUCAUUAGAGCAAGGGUAGGCUGAUCCCCAGCCCAUAUGCUGACUGCAGCUUGCCUCCAAUAGUUAUGAACAUUGUGGGAACACGGCCAGGCCUCAUGUUGAUUUAAGCUGUGUUUCUCAUGCUGUGGUACAAAUGAUCAUUAGCAGAAGAAACUAUGAGAUCCAGAAGGUGAAAGGUCUACUCCUUGGCUUUUAUACAAAGAAAAGUUUGCUAGCCCUGCUGUGGAGUGCCUGUCUUGUCAAAUAUGCUUCAUUCGAAGCAUGUGUACCCAUUUAAAACACUUAUAUUUGAAUGCAUAUUUGUUCCUGGUAGUCUAUUAAGCCUGGGAACAUGGAAAUGACUAAGUUCAGAAAAUAUAAUGCACACAAUUUUUAAAUAUAAAAACAUCUUUGAAAAAUUGACACAGGAGAAAUUACAUUGAAUGAAUCUGCUUUCUUUAGUGGGUCUCUUUUAAGAAAUAAAACAGGCUGGAGUUGUGGCUUGGUGUAUCUGUCACAAGGCUCUGAGUGCAUUCUCCAGGGGAGGGACCAGUUCCUAUCUACCACCAGUUUCGAGCACUGAUAAAUGACAACUAAAAGCUGGUCAUUUCUUGAGUUUGUGCUAGGAAUUUACCCAGUCUUUUAAUUAAUGUUAAGGACCAGUUUAAAUGUGACACUAUUUCUCUGGUUUAUGAUUGCUAUGGUAUCAGAAUUUGUCAAGGUGUGUCUGAGAAGUAGGGCUAGCUCUGACAUUGAUAGUUUUAUUUCCUGCUCUGGGGAAGAGUGAUAGCGGAAGCCCUUUGGAAUGCUCUUGUUUGCUUAGUGAUUAUUUGUCAUCUCUUGGGGCCUUACAACUAAGCUUUGAGAAGGCAAACAAUAUGAAGCCCCGCCCCACCCCCUUUUUCUUUUUAAAAGUUGUCAGGACAGUGUUUUUUCCUGUCCUGGUUAAUAGUAUUAAAGGCAAUACCAUAUUGUAGUUAUUUCAAUACUGGUACCAGAAGAUAAAGUAGAGAAAAUUCACAACUGAUUUGAAAGAGAUGCGAGCUACAAUUACUACUACAGGGAACAUAUUC
rnacentral:lncRNA from 1 species